UCCAAUAGCGUAUAUUAAAAUUGUUGCAGUUAAAAAGCUCGUAGUUGAAUUUCUGCUGCAUUGCUUGUGUCCCUCUGGGGUCUGUGCAUGUGGCUUUUUUCGGACGGAGUUUCUUUGUCUGAAUGUUUACUUUGAGAAAAUUAGAGUGCUCAAAGCAGGCUUUCGCCUUGAAUAGUUUAGCAUGGAAUAAUAAAGUAGGACUUUGGUUCUAUUUUGUUGGUUUUAGGUACCAAAGUAAUGGUUAAUAGGAACAGUUGGGGGCAUUCGUAUUUAACUGUCAGAGGUGAAAUUCUUAGAUUUGUUAAAGACGAACUACUGCGAAAGCAUUUGCCAAGGAUGUUUUCAUUAAUCAAGAACGAAAGUUAGGGGAUCGAAGACGAUCAGAUACCGUCGUAGUCCAAACCAUAAACUAUGCCGACUAGAGAUUGGAGGUCGUCAG
rnacentral:rRNA from 1 species